rnacentral:rRNA from 1 species
UACGGGGGGUGCAAGCGUUGUUCGGAAUUAUUGGGCGUAAAGAGCGUGUAGGCGGCGGAAUAAGUCAGAUGUGAAAGCCCUGGGCUUAACCCAGGAAGUGCAUUUGAUACUGUUUUGCUUGAGUACUGGAGAGGGAAGAGGAAUUCCUGGUGUAGAGGUGAAAUUCGUAGAUAUCAGGAGGAACACCGGUGGCGAAGGCGACUUCCUGGCCAGAUACUGACGCUGAGACGCGAGAGCGUGGGGAGCAAACAGG